CAAUAGCGUAUAUUAACGUUGUUGCAGUUAAAAAGCUCGUAGUUGGAUUUCUGGAGGGAGCGUCGGCCCGUAUUUACGAGUGCGUGACGUCUCUGUCCAUCCUUGCGGGAAGGCACGGCAUUGAUUUGUUGUGUCGGAUCGCAUCAUUUACUGUGAAAAAAUUAGAGUGUUCAAAGCAGGCUUUCGCUUGAAUACAUUAGCACGGAAUAAUAAGAUAGGACUUUGGUGCUAUUUUGUUGGUUGAGCCUAAAGUAAUGAUUAAUAGGGAUAGUUGGGGGCACCUGUAUUGCGUUGUCAGAGGUGAAAUUCUUGGAUUUACGCAAGACAAACAGCUGCGAANGNGUCUGGNAAGGAUGUUUNCAUUA
rnacentral:rRNA from 1 species